GGAGAAUUGCUUGAACCUGGGAGGUGGAGGUUGCAGUGAGCUGAGAUCACGCCACUGCACUCCAGCCUGGGCAACAGAGCAAUACUCUGUCUC
rnacentral:miRNA from 1 species